GCAAGUCGAACGGGAUUGAUUGGUACUUGUAUCAAUCAUGAGAGUGGCGCACGGGUGAGUAACACGUGUGAACAUACCCAGAAGUGGGGGAUAACAGAUGGAAACGACAGCUCAUACCGCAUAAUCCCUGAGGGGGAAAGCUUUAGUGCUUUUGGAUUGGCCCGCGGUAGAUUAGGUAGUUGGUGAGGUAAUGGCUCACCAAGGUUACGAUCUAUAGCUGGUUUGAGAGGAUGAUC
rnacentral:rRNA from 1 species